UGUCCGUCAUCCUCAGCAUCACCAGGCUGGCCAGCGGGCCGAACGUCCGGUCCUCGAUCCGGCGCAAGGUGUUGAAGGAGAGGUCCAGGUGUUGAAGUGCUGAAUCAGACCCAGCAGGAUGGAGGAGCAGCAGCAGGAGGAGGAGGAGGAAGACAGAUGUUGCUGCUGACGAGUCGUAUGAAAUAAAUUACCCCAAAAAUGGCAACCAGCAGUCCCUUCCUCCUCACACACACACUGACCACACACUCUGUCCGUCUUUGUCAUCCACCCUCAGAGAUCCACUAAAAGAAAAUCUGUUGGGUUUUCUGUCUAUUCACCGCCUCUGUCAGGUUGCUCUCCAUGUGGACUGAAGUAAUCCCCACAGCUGUUUAAGCCCUUAUAAACUGGCUCUAGGAGGACAUCUAGUGUCAGCAACAAGGAACUGCGUUUAGGAUUGAUACUUGAUUGAUGUUUUCCCUCAGCUUUGCUACUGUUGUGAAAUGGAAGUAAAAACAGAACCAAUUUCACAAGCUCUUAAAAGUUUACCCGUAAGUAAAAAUGUUUUUUUUUAAAUGAUCAAGAAUAAUCUAAAUAUUGUUUAAAAAUAGGUUCAAAGUUAAUUGUACUCACUUCAAGUGACACCGUUUGAGGUAAAAUGUUGGUGGGUUUUCUUGAGGCCUCCACUAGAAUCAAUUGUGCACCAACUGAUGGCCAAGCAGUACGAAAUGUUGGACUUUAUGGACACGCGACAAAAAUACAGUUGUUGCUGAAAUACAGACACAAAAAGUUCUGUUUGCUUCACAGUAAAACCUUAUAAAGAAGUUAUCUGCUCACAAAGGAACAAUGCUUUUAACUUUUUAGCCUGCGUGUGUAGCAGGAUGAAGCCUGCCCUGCAGGAUGGAGGACACCUGGCACCUAAUUAACAGGAUGUGGAGCAUAAAAGGAGACUCCUUCACCUGUUUCCAUUAUGCCUGGACAUGGUCACACUUCAGUAAGAAGGUCGCUUGGUUGGUUUGCAGUGGUCAUAACUCUAACAUCAGUAAGUAGUGUUUCUCCUGUAUUAGACCUGAAAUUGCAGUUGUUUAACUCAAAUUGUUUGAAUUUACAAACUGCCUGGAGUCUCCUGCUUGGUACUGGGGUGUGGCUACCGUUUCACCUCCCCAGUUGAUCUUAGCAACGUAAAACAGGCAUGUACUUUUUAUUGCAUCCAUGCAGUUUUAUUGCACAAAAACAUGACAAUUCAUUUAUAGAAAGUACUGGCAAGCUGAUCCUCCUGCUGAUGUUGGGCUGGAAGGGGCUCUCUGGUUGGGGUGGAGUCAUCCGGCUCUGAAAGCUGCUGCAGCUCGGUGGAGACCCUGCUGCUUUGUUUCCUCAGUUUUGUGCUCUCCCACCCCCCAGCCCCCCUUUUUUUUUUUUUGGUGGAAUCAAGUCUUGUUCUCAUUGGUUUACAAACCUUCAGUGCCUUGCUCUAUUUCCUUGGGUGCAAUUCCCAAGGUGGCGUUGUUGACGCCUUCUGGUAACCCCGCUCUGAGAGGUGCAUUUAAGUUGCAGAGUAUCAGCCCAUUUCCUACCCUGGUGUUGCCACACAUGCCAAACAUUUCAUGUGGUGGAAUGCCAACACACUAUCCCACACAGACUUUAUGCUAUUUCCUGGGCCAAAAUUACCAUGUUAUGUAAACUUAAUUCAAGUUUUUAUAUGAAUAUUUCCAGGAUGACAUUUGUUUUGAAUAUCGGUGAUUAAAACGGGGGAUAUGGAUGUCUGGUUUCACUCUGGAGGAUGAUUUUUACCCUGGCAGCUGAUCCUGAAGCAAUAUGUAAUAAUAAAAUGACAAAAAUUGUGGUUCUA